CCCUAAUUCCACAGCCGCCGCAGGGAAUCGGCGACGAACGACGGCGAACUCGACGCCGUUUCAUCGGGUGAAUGUUGACAUCGGCCGACCGUCCACCGGUGCAUAAUCUUUAAUUUGCAAGUGUUGGCUCUUCCCAUCCCAGGAGGAUAUGGAUAAAUUUUUGUUGAAAGGGAAACGACCAGCAUUAGAUAGUAAUGUGGCAGGGACUUCAAGGCCUGUUAGACCAAGACAAGAUCUUGCUUCAAAUAUUGGUACUACUCCUCCGCCUCCGGCAGAAAUUAACUUAGAUGCACUUUCUCAUGAUCCAGCUGAUCGAAAAAGAAUAGGGCAGUACACAAAGAAUCCUAAGAAGCAAGAUGAGAUUAGAAGAAUAUAUUUAAAUAGAGGACCUUACAGACCACAAGAAGGCUUUAAAUAUCCUCAGAAAACCAUCGCAGGAGCUGAACAGAGAUAUAAUCCAAAAUGGUUCAAAGACUACCAUUGGCUAGAGUAUAGUGAUAAGGUGCAUAAGUCAUUUUGCGUGUGUUGCUAUCUAUUUAGAGAUUGCAUCGACGGCCAAGGUGGUAAUGAUGCAUUUGUUGUUAAAGGCUUCUCUUGUUGGAAUAAGAAACAAAGACUAGAUACUCAUGAGGGUGAAGUUAAUAGCUUUCACAAUGUAGCUGUUAAAAGUUGUGGUGCUAAUUUUGCCAGUUGCCACAGCGUCAGUGGAGAGAUGCUUUUCAGCAAUGAAUAUCGUCAAGGGUGUUUUGCGGAACAAAAUGGGUGAUGAGUUCAUGAGUGAUUGCCUGAUUUGCUAUGUGGAGAAAGACAUAUUUUCUACAAUAACGAAUGAUGAUGUAAUUGAUCUAUUUAAGAAGAUGAAAGAUCGAGAAGGGAAGUUAUAAAAUAAAGUUACAAGUGAAACGUUCCAAAGUCAUCUUUUUGCCUAUUAUUUUUGGAAUAUGUAAAGAAGUGUUACUUUAUGACUUCGUUCAGCCAAUACUCGCUACUCGGUACGAUUUUUUUUUAUGUAAUAAUAAUAUCACC